rnacentral:rRNA from 1 species
UUCGGGUACAAUUGAGACAGGUGGUGCAUGGUUGUCGUCAGCUCGUGUCGUGAGAUGGUUGGGUUAACGUCCCGCAACGAGCGCAACCCUUGUGUUUUAGUUGCAAACAGGUCAAGCUGUGCACUCUAGACAGACUGCCGUGGACAACACGGAGGAAGGUGGGGAUGACGUCAAAUCAUCAUCGCCCCUUAUGAUCUGGGCUACACACGUGCUACAAUGGCCGGUACAACGGGCAGCGAAGGAGCGAUCCGGAGCGAAUCCUAAAAAGCCGGUCCCAGUUCGGAUUGCAGGCUGAAACUCGCCUACAUGAAGUUGGAGUUGCUAGUAAUCGCGAAUCAGAAUGUCGCGGUGAAUGCGUUCCCGGGUCUU